GUGGCCUCCCAAAGUGCUGGGAUUGCAGGUGUGAGCCACCGUGCCCGGCCAGAGCCUGGGGUUCUCAAACUCGUUUCUGGGGACCGCCCACCACUUUUCUUGCCAGUGCCCAUCUUCCAGGUUCCUCCCAGGCUGCUUCUGCCUGCCUUGUCCUCUUCCUGCCUGUCACACCACACUCUCCCACCAGCAUCUUCCUCAUUCCGCUCUGACUCUCCUCACCACCCAGCCCGAC
rnacentral:lncRNA from 1 species